GAACUGUGUUAUUCACAUUAAGGACGAGGGAAAGCAUAUUUGGGAGAAGUGCUAUUUCUGCAUCGUCCUUGUUGAGAAUGCAGUGAGCGUGAGGCAAAUAAUUACAAUUGUCCAAAGUGCUGUUGAGUACAGGAAACUCAAGCUCAGAUUACCUGGAUGUGGUGGCUGCAAUUGCAUCUGCUAUCUUGGGUGAAUAAAGAAAACCAGCAUAAGAAAACAAUCCAAAAUGCUGAACAUGGCAGAAUACAAAAAUAGAAAAUAUGAAGCUGUGACCUUGAAGAUGUCAUCGACCCCCUUAAUAAAAAAAACAUGAAGUCACCCUACCAGAAGACCUUUUGUUGUUUGAGUUAAUAAAUAAUAAAUUAAGC
rnacentral:lncRNA from 1 species